rnacentral:rRNA from 1 species
UACGUAGGGUGCAAGCGUUGUCCGGAAUUAUUGGGCGUAAAGAGCUCGUAGGCGGUUUGUCGCGUCUGCUGUGAAAACUCGGGGCUUAACUCCGGGCCUGCAGUGGGUACGGGCAGACUAGAGUGCGGUAGGGGAGACUGGAAUUCCUGGUGUAGCGGUGAAAUGCGCAGAUAUCAGGAGGAACACCGGUGGCGAAGGCGGGUCUCUGGACGACUCCUGACACUGAGGCACGAAAGCUAGGGGAGCAAACAGG